rnacentral:misc_RNA from 1 species
CUCAGACGUCGGCUUUUGUUGCGACAAAACAAGAAGAGCGAAUCCAAGAAGCUCGCCGACAGUAACUGCACUACGUUGAUGCUUGUUGCAGUCCUAGGAUUAUUUCUCCUCGUUGAGCUGCCUCUCGGUGUGAUUAUGAUUUUAUUUAGCAUACAAAAUACGCUAGACAUAAUCAUUAUGGACAAUAGCACAUUUAUAUUAUUAACAAACAUUUCUAAUACUAGCAUACUCGUGUCUUACCCACUUAACUUUCUGAUUUAUUGUGCAAUGAGUCGACAGUUUAGAGAAACUUUUACAAGAAUGUUUUCUUGCAAACCUAUGCCUUUACAACGCGAGACGUCACAUUAUACGGCUGUGCCGCAAGAAAACGGAAAAACGCACAAAGAGAACCAUACAACAGUCGUAGAGAUUCCCGAGAUCAAGAAAUCCGAAUAAAAUGCUCUCCGUCCGAGAAUCGUUGGUUUUUGAGACAAAGUGUAAAAUAAAUGAAUAUGGUUAUAGAAUUCUAUCAUUACAUUGCGCACAUGCAAAUGUAUAUAACGUGUUUUAACUAUAUGAACAACAAAUGUUUGUUUGUAGUAAGACAAAGAAAGAAAUAUAUAAAGCUGUGUUGUUUGUAGAAAAUUGUCAAUCAGUAAACAUGAAUUCUUUUUUUAUCGUUUACAUGUAAGUUGCAAAUAUUAUGAGUUAGAGUUUACAGGAGCUGUAUAUAUUUUAUGUUGAUUGCAUAAUAAAUACAAAUCUCUGGUU